UCCAGCUUAAUUCGUCACACCUGAGCUUGCAGAAGCAGAUAGUAUCCGAUGAUUUGCACUUUUAUGCUAAUAUUAACUUGGUGGGUUAGCCAGUUAGCUUGGUUUAAUUAGCUUGUUUAAGUUAGCUUGUGGACAAAUGAAGGUAGACGACGUUCUUCUUUGAAAGCUUAUAUUCAGAAUAAGUUGUAUUGUAUUGUUUUCAUCUCGAGUUAGACUAAAAGUAUAUACCUUGAAAAUAGCUUUUCUUACAUUUUUAUUUCUCUCGGGAUAGCCUUACGGAGGAGAUCGGAAGAGAAAGCGGCAUUCACGUUCAUGAUUUUGAACGUUUUGAUAAGGAAGCCAAGGGGUCAGGGUGAGUUUGAAUCGCAUGUCAGGAUUGCCCCCACACUGACCUGCGCCUGACUGGCCUUCCAGCAAAAAGCCCCUGUGAAGCAGAAAGCAAGGAGGCCCGGCGCUGAUGGGAAGGUGAAAACAUCCUCUUCCUCCUCCUCCUCUCUCCUUGCUGAACAUCUGUCUCCUCGGUGUUGGCUGCACCACCGACUCUGACACCUCCAGAUGGAAAGCCUGCUGGGAGCGCUGAGGUAUUACCUCCAGAGAUGGCAGGGAUCACACCCCUGGAAAGAAGUCCCACACUUGCUUUCUGUGCCGGCUGCUUCUUCUUUUUUGCUGUUGUUGUUGUUGUUGGAUCUGUCACUGCUCUCCAUAUCCGUUGUCACUUCCCCCCCCAGCCCUGCCCUCUGCCUUUGUGACUCAUCUGAUGAGCAGGCUUUGGGCCUUGUUAAGAAAUGCAUGACAUCAAAUGUCUGAGCCCUUCUUCUAAUUUACAGUAAUGGGUCGUAUGGUAUUUCAACUGUAAAUUCUAUUCAAGGAACUGAAUUAAUAUUUAAUAUAGUUGUGAAAGAACUGCAGGCUCAUGCAGAUGUAUUUCAAACGGCCGCUGAUUUCCAUUUCCUAAAUGCCUGUUUUCCCGACGCCUUAAAAAGAUUAAAGUUCACACAAUCUUGGUCAUGGCCCAAAAAAAUAAAAAAAUAAAAGCUCCCGUACAGUUUAUUAGUGCGAAUAUUAGAAGCAAUACCUGUGAAAAUCCAGAGCGUAAAAGCCUGGGAGUUUGCUUCGCCAGAGCCACUCUGCCGUCUUGACAGAUGGACUCUGCAUUCAUUUGUGCCUGAACUCUGAGUGAACCUCAGCGUUGGAGAAGAAGGGCAUCAACAGGCCAGAGCUGUUGGGGCAGAAACUGUGUGUGCAAACCCAUCACCCAGAGCAAAUAUUGAAACUGUGCCUCCCUUUACAAUGAGAGGAAACAAGGUGGCCAGGUUCUGGGAGCCACAAUAGCCACUGUUUUCGUUUUCAUUUUCAAAAUAACAUUUCACUUACAUUCGGUCAGAUAGAAAUAGAUCUGUCGUAAGAAGUGUCCGAGUUGAAUUUGGGUAACAAAUCAAGAGUGAGACCCGACUUCCUGGAGUUUGUUGUCAUGUUUAAAGCCCCUGGAGGUAUUUUGAGGUGAAAAGGUCACUCAGAACCACCCCGUGGGUUGUGAGAGAUUCCUCUUGUCACAUUAUGCAAGCUGACAUGGUCGGAGUCAAAUAAAUUCAAAAUCUACACAACAAAUUAGAGAUGUGCCAAUCAGGCUUUUACUGGCUAUUACAGAUAUCUAGUUUCUGGUCAGAGGAAAGCAGAAAUCAGAUUUUUUUUUUUUUUUUUUUUUUUUUUU